AUUUUGCUGCAAAUCUAAAAUUUGUUUACAAAAUCAAAUCAGGAAUGGCAAUAUAAACCAAAAUAAAACAAAACAGUUAUAUUAAUGAGCUUUUGUACUUCAUACACUCUGUAAUUUAUAAACAGGAGAGUGAUUCAUAUGACUUACAAUAUGAAAACAGUAAAGCCAUUCCUCACCAAAGCUUCUUAACCAAUGCUUCUAAAAGACAAGAAAUUUGGCAGAAAGGCUCAUGCUACAGUCUUCAUGGAACCGAGCUGGAAGCCAGGAGCAGGAGGCAAAUGGGAAGACUGUGGUUCCCUGCAGGUGGGUACCACAGGCACAGCCGCCCUCAGGUGUGUCUGAGCCCUGAUUGAAACCAAAUGCCUUUAUUGAGGCAGAAAGUUGAAGAGUCCUGAGGCUGUUUCCAGACAGUAGGUGCCGCUGGAGACAGGCAGAAGGAGCAAACCUGUCUGGAGGAAAGCUCACCAAAUUUAGGGCUGCAGGACUCCUACAGAGGAAGAUCAUAUAGUCAGCUGCUCACAUACCCAUUUAUCAUAUGAUUUGCUGAUCAUUCUUUCUGGUAACACAGAAUUUUAAUCUCAGAUUGUUUUUCUUCUUUUUGACAUGUAUCCUAAAGGAUUACCCUUGUGCUGAGCAUUUUGGUGACGUUUUUAUUCAUAAUUUUUCUUGAAAGGUACUACUAUAUCUAGGAAUCUAAAGGUAUAUUGUUAAUAACUUUUUUCUCAACAAUUUGAAGAUUUUUCUUCUGCCCUCUAUUGCUGCAACUGAGAAUUCUAUUAUUGUCUAAUUGUCAUUCUUCCCCCCCCCUUUCUUCUGACUGCAUAAAAGAUUUUCAUUUUCUUUCUACCUUUCUGUUCUAUAUUUAUACUCUAAGAUGUUUGGGCUCAGAUUGAUUUUUCUUAGUGCUUCUAGUGAUACCUAACAAAUCCUGUACCUGUGUAUUUAUAUCUUAUUUAUGAAAAAUUUGUAGCAAUUUUCUUUCAAAUAUUAUGUACCCAUUUUGUUUCCCCCUCUAUGAUUCUAUGACACCUGUUAAACUUAUAUUCUCUCAUGUAGCUCUUACCAUCUCUUUCAUAUAAAUUUUUCCAUCUUCCUGUGCGGUAUGUCGAAUUACUGCUUUAUGCUUUAGGAUGAUUAAAUUCCCCCAUUGUGUUGAUACCUGGAAUUGCUUUUUAGAGUAUAAAUUUCAAGGAUAGCAUAUACACAGUUGAUGUGUCUGAUGUUUGCAUCUUGAAGAUUAUAGAAAUAUUCUGAAAAGAUAUUAAUUAAUCCAGAAAAACCUCAGAAUUAAUCAUGGAGGACCAGAGAUAUAUUGCCAAGAUGAUUAGAGGGUCAUGUCUCUUAACUUCAUUUGAAAUACAUUAGUUCCCUUAGGCUGAUGAGUUGUUCAUUAUGCCAUCUCUACUCCUCCAUGCCUG
rnacentral:lncRNA from 1 species